rnacentral:rRNA from 1 species
GUCUAGCGGCGGACGGGUGAGUAAUGCCUAGGAAAUUGCCCUGAUGUGGGGGAUAACCAUUGGAAACGAUGGCUAAUACCGCAUGAUGCCUACGGGCCAAAGAGGGGGACCUUCGGGCCUCUCGCGUCAGGAUAUGCCUAGGUGGGAUUAGCUAGUUGGUGAGGUAAGGGCUCACCAAGGCGACGAUCCCUAGCUGGUCUGAGAGGAUGAUCAGCCACACUGGAACUGAGACACGGUCCAGACUCCUACGGGAGGCAGCAGUGGGGAAUAUUGCACAAUGGGCGCAAGCCUGAUGCAGCCAUGCCGCGUGUGUGAAGAAGGCCUUCGGGUUGUAAAGCACUUUCAGUCGUGAGGAAGGUAGUGUAGUUAAUAGCUGCAUUAUUUGACGUUAGCGACAGAAGAAGCACCGGCUAACUCCGUGCCAGCAGCCGCGGUAAUACGGAGGGUGCGAGCGUUAAUCGGAAUUACUGGGCGUAAAGCGCAUGCAGGUGGUUUGUUAAGUCAGAUGUGAAAGCCCGGGGCUCAACCUCGGAAUAGCAUUUGAAACUGGCAGACUAGAGUACUGUAGAGGGGGGUAGAAUUUCAGGUGUAGCGGUGAAAUGCGUAGAGAUCUGAAGGAAUACCGGUGGCGAAGGCGGCCCCCUGGACAGAUACUGACACUCAGAUGCGAAAGCGUGGGGAGCAAACAGGAUUAGAUACCCUGGUAGUCCACGCCGUAAACGAUGUCUACUUGGAGGUUGUGGCCUUGAGCCGUGGCUUUCGGAGCUAACGCGUUAAGUAGACCGCCUGGGGAGUACGGUCGCAAGAUUAAAACUCAAAUGAAUUGACGGGGGCCCGCACAAGCGGUGGAGCAUGUGGUUUAAUUCGAUGCAACGCGAAGAACCUUACCUACUCUUGACAUCCAGAGAACUUUCCAGAGAUGGAUUGGUGCCUUCGGGAACUCUGAGACAGGUGCUGCAUGGCUGUCGUCAGCUCGUGUUGUGAAAUGUUGGGUUAAGUCCCGCAACGAGCGCAACCCUUAUCCUUGUUUGCCAGCGAGUAAUGUCGGGAACUCCAGGGAGACUGCCGGUGAUAAACCGGAGGAAGGUGGGGACGACGUCAAGUCAUCAUGGCCCUUACGAGUAGGGCUACACACGUGCUACAAUGGCGCAUACAGAGGGCGGCCAACUUGCGAAAGUGAGCGAAUCCCAAAAAGUGCGUCGUAGUCCGGAUUGGAGUCUGCAACUCGACUCCAUGAAGUCGGAAUCGCUAGUAUCGUGGAUCAGAAUGCCACGGUGAAUACGUUCCCGGGCCUUGUACACCCGCCGUCACACCAUGGGAGUGGGCUGCA